rnacentral:rRNA from 1 species
GAUCAUGGCUCAGGAUGAACGCUGGCGGCGUGCUUAACACAUGCAAGUCGAACGAAGCACUUUAUUUGAUUUCCUUCGGGACUGAUUAUUUUGUGACUGAGUGGCGGACGGGUGAGUAACGCGUGGGUAACCUGCCUUGUACCGGGGGAUAACAGUUGGAAACGGCUGCUAAUACCGCAUAAGCGCACAGCAUCGCAUGAUGCAGUGUGAAAAACUCCGGUGGUAUAAGAUGGACCCGCGUUGG